UACGGAGGGUGCAAGCGUUAUCCGGAUUCACUGGGUUUAAAGGGUGCGUAGGUGGGAAUGUAAGUCAGUGGUGAAAUCUCCGUGCUUAACACGGAAACUGCCAUUGAUACUAUGUUUCUUGAAUUUUCUGGAGGUUAGCGGAAUAUGUCAUGUAGCGGUGAAAUGCUUAGAUAUGACAUAGAACACCAAUUGCGAAGGCAGCUAACUACAGGGAUAUUGACACUGAGGCACGAAAGCGUGGGGAUCAAACAGG
rnacentral:rRNA from 1 species